CCCCCCCCCCCCCCCCUCCCUUUUCCUUUCUUUCUUUUUUUUUUUUUUUACAGACUUAGGAUGGCUUGUCUUGUUAGUUACUUUUCUUCCUGCCAGCCCCCAUCCUCAAGUUCUCCAAUGCAACUUCAGAGGAUCAUCUUUGAUACCUCUGCAUCUGAAUAAUAUGGUUUCUGUCCCAUGCUGUAGCUGACGGUAGGAUGGACUCUGAGUGCAACUGAGAGGUUGCUUCCUCCAUAGUUUCCUAUUGCAUCUCAUACUGGUUAGGGUAAGCAAUUACAGAGGAAAUUUGACUUCUCCAUGGAGUAGUGUGUGCCUGACAGCUAGCUGGAGACAGCACACACGGAAUUGAGUCAGUGCUCCGAGUGCGGUCUUGAGUUGCAGUAAAGGUAAAACAACUGCAGACUGAUAGUUUAGCUUCUAAGGAGCAUAUACAGAUAGCAUGUUUGCCUCUAAUACUUAAAAGGCGAGGUUCUGAGAUCAUAUUUCAUGGACUGCUUCCUAUAGAUUUCAAGAAAUCCAAUCGUUCUGAAGUAUAGCCGUGCGCUAUUAUUAUUUAAAGGGAACAAACUGUUUUGAAACCCAUUACGUGGGAAGGAACCGAGGGCGGAAGUGACGUCAAGGCGUGCCUUCACUGAGGACCAAAACGGCUCCAUGAUUGGCUGGACCGUGAGGGCAGAUGUAGCGUCACGGCUAGCCUUCACUGAGGGCGGAAACACUCCGUGACUGGCUCGGAGGAACCCAGGGCGGAAGUGCCUUGCAGGGCUUGCCGGCACUAUGGGCGGAAGCUGUCGGGCCGGGCCGGGCUCGGCUCGGGCCAGGCCGCCGAGGCGCGGUGCUGCAACGAGGGCAGAAGCAGCUCCCCGCCGCAAGGACCCCUGUGGGGUUUGUUGCCGAGCGAAGGUGGCGCAUUGGCUAAACGGAGGAAAGCUGCAGCUGGCGUGCUGCAGUCGCAGGUUUCCCAGGAGAAAGAGCAGCCCGUCUGUCCAGGCCCCCGGACACAACCGAGGACCCACCCCGGUGACGCCCAGCGUGCUCCCGUGUGCCCUGAGCACCCACCACGGAGAACCCCGGCCUGCCCCCGAGCAGCCCAUAGGAACCACCCCGGUGACCCCCGGCCCUGCAUGUCCCCAGGUACCCACCCCGGUGACGCUCCCGGUCCGCCUGGUCCCCGGAACACCCACCCCGGUGACCGCCCCGGGCCCCCCAAGUCCACCACCCAAGGACCCACAACGGUGAUUCCCCAGGAUCGUCGUUCACCCCGGAUGACCCUCCCCGCUGACCCCUAUGGGCCACCCAAGUCUCCGGUGGACACAUGCCGUUGACCCCUCCGGCCUCCCUGGUACCCAGAGGACCCACCCCGGUCACAUCCCCGGGGGCCCGCUAGGACUCAAACCAGUGAGCACCCCUGGGUCCCCGGGGGCCCCCGAGUACCCACCCUGGUGAUCACCCCCGGGCCCCCCAGGCGCCCCGGAGGACCCGCCCGGGUGACACUCCAGUGUCCCUCGAAGGCUGCGGAGGACAAACUCCGGUGAUCCCCCUGGGACCUCGAGGUCCCCGGAGAAGCCACCCUGGUGUCCUCCACAGAUACCAGAGGUCCCCGGAGGAACCAACUCUGGUGAACCCCUAGGUCCCCCCAGGUCCCCAGACCACCAACCCCUGUGACAACCCAGAGUCCCUCGGAAGCCCCAGAGGACCUAUCCCUGUGAUCCCCCCCACCCGGGCCGCCCAGGGCACCGGAGGAGCAAAGCAGGUGAGCCCCACGGGAUGCCAAACUCCCCGGAGGACCCAAAAUUGUGUCCUCCCUUGGUCCCCUUGGUCCCGGAGGAUCCACCACGGUGACAACCCCGAUUCCUUGGGCGCACGGUAAGACUAAUCCCGGUGACACCUCCGGGCCCCCCAGGUCCCCUGAAGUGCCACACCGGUGAAAGCCGGAUUGCCUGCGGGCGCCUUGG
ensembl:lncRNA